GACGAACGCUGGCGGCGUGCUUAACACAUGCAAGUCGAACGGUAAGGCCCUUCGGGGGUACACGAGUGGCGAACGGGUGAGUAACACGUGGGUGAUCUGCCCUGCACUUCGGGAUAAGCUUGGGAAACUGGGUCUAAUACCGGAUAGGACCACGGUCUGCAUGGAUUGUGGUGGAAAGCUUUUGCGGUGUGGGAUGGGCCCGCGGCCUAUCAGCUUGUUGGUGGGGUGAUGGCCUACCAAGGCGACGACGGGUAGCCGGCCUGAGAGGGUGUCCGGCCACACUGGGACUGAGAUACGGCCCAGACUCCUACGGGAGGCAGCAGUGGGGAAUAUUGCACAAUGGGCGCAAGCCUGAUGCAGCGACGCCGCGUGGGGGAUGACGGCCUUCGGGUUGUAAACCUCUUUCAGCAGGGACGAAGGGUGACUGACGGUACCUGUAGAAGAAGCACCGGCCAACUACGUG
rnacentral:rRNA from 1 species